UCGAUUUGGAGUUUGUUGCCUAGAGUGAUGGGCUCCGAAGCUAACGCGAUAAAUCGACCGCCUGGGGAGUACGGCCGCAAGGUUAAAACUCAAAUGAAUUGACGGGGGCCCGCACAAGCGGUGGAGCAUGUGGUUUAAUUCGAUGCAACGCGAAGAACCUUACCUGGUCUUGACAUCCACAGAAACUUGCAGAGAUGCGAGAGUGCCUUCGGGAACUGUGAGACAGGUGCUGCAUGGCUGUCGUCAGCUCGUGUUGUGAAAUGUUGGGUUAAGUCCCGCAACGAGCGCAACCCUUAUCCUUUGUUGCCAUUGGUUCGGCCGGGAACUCAAAGGAGACUGCCGUUGAUAAAGCGGAGGAAGGUGGGGACGACGUCAAGUCAUCAUGGCCCUUACGACCAGGGCUACACACGUGCUACAAUGGCGUAUACAAAGGGAGGCGACCUCGCGAGAGCAAGCGGACCUCAUAAAGUACGUCUAAGUCCGGAUUGGAGUCUGCAACUCGACUCCAUGAAGUCGGAAUCGCUAGUAAUCGUGAAUCAGAAUGUCACGGUGAAUACGUUCCCGGGCCU
rnacentral:rRNA from 1 species